rnacentral:misc_RNA from 1 species
GGACUACCCGGGUUUCUAAUCCUGUUUGCUCCCCACGCUUUCGCGCCUCAGCGUCAGUUGCAGGCCAGCGAGCUGCCUUCGCCAUGGGUGUUCCGAUCGAUAUCUACGCAUUUCACCGCUACACCGACCAUUCCACUCGCCUCUCCCGCACUCAAGGUCCCCAGUAUGAAAGGCAGUGUCCGGGUUGAGCCCUGAACCUCUCACCCCUCACUUAAAGACCCGCCUACGCGCUCUUUACGCCCAGUAACUUCGGACAACGCUCGCCCCCUACGUAUUACCGCGGCUGCUGGCAC